GUGCUUGCUUUGGCAGUACAUAUAUUAAAAUUGGAAUGGAACAGAGAAGAUUAGGAUGCCCCCUGUACAAGGAUGGCAUACACAUUUGUGAAGCAUUCCAUAUUUAA